GGACUACUCGGGUUUCUAAUCCCGUUUGCUCCCCUGGCUUUCGCGCCUCAGCGUCAGGUGGGGUCCAGCACGCCGCUUUCGCCACCGGCGUUCCUUCCGAUAUCUACGCAUUUCACCGCUCCACCGGAAGUUCCGCAUGCCCCUACCCCCCUCCAGACCGCCAGUAUCGGAAGCACGCUCCCGGUUGAGCCGGAAGGUUUCACCCCCAACUUGGCGACCCGCCUACGCGCCCUUUAAGCCCAGUGAAUCCGAACAACGUUCGCACGGUUCGUCUUACCGCGGCUGCUGGCAC
rnacentral:rRNA from 2 species